UACGGGGGGAGCAAGCGUUGUUCGGAUUUACUGGGCGUAAAGGGCGCGUAGGCGGCUUUUCAAGUCGGGCGUGAAAUCUCCGGGCUCAACCCGGAAGGGUCGUUCGAUACUGUUGAGCUAGAGUGUGGAAGAGGCAACUAGAAUUCCGUGUGUAGCGGUGAAAUGCGUAGAUAUACGGAGGAAUACCUGAGGCGAAGGCGGGUUGCUGGGCCAACACUGACGCUGAGGCGCGAAAGCCAGGGGAGCAAACGGG
rnacentral:rRNA from 1 species